rnacentral:rRNA from 1 species
GAUGAACGCUGGCGGCGUGCCUAAUACAUGCAAGUCGAGCGAACAGACGAGGAGCUUGCUCCUCUGACGUUAGCGGCGGACGGGUGAGUAACACGUGGAUAACCUACCUAUAAGACUGGGAUAACUUCGGGAAACCGGAGCUAAUACCGGAUAAUAUAUUGAACCGCAUGGUUCAAUAGUGAAAGACGGUUUUGCUGUCACUUAUAGAUGGAUCCGCGCCGCAUUAGCUAGUUGGUAAGGUAACGGCUUACCAAGGCAACGAUGCGUAGCCGACCUGAGAGGGGGAUCGGCCACACUGGAACUGAGACACGGUCCAGACGCCUACGGGAGGCAGCAGUAGGGAAUCUUACGCAAUGGGCGAAAGCCUGACGGAGCAACGCAGCGUGAGUGAGGAAGGUCUUCGGAUCGUAAAACUCUGUUAUUAGGGAAGAACAUAUGUGUAAGUAACUGUGCACAUCUUGACGGUACCUAAUCAGAAAGCCACGGCUAACUACGUG